GUUCUCUUAUACAUAUAUAAAUGAAUGACUUUCCUGUACACCUGAAACUAACACAACAUUGUAAACCAACUAUACUUCAACAAAAAAUAAUACAAUUUUUUAUAAAAAGAAUGUUCAGGGUCCUUUCCUGAGGACUCUGCUGAGUGGAGGCCAAGGCUACCUGCUCCACGUCUCAGGAGAAAGCCUGCCUCUCAGCCUCUGGUGAGCGCUCCCUCCUGCUAUCACAGGAUGUUAUAAAUAAAGAAAAAGAGGAAGGUGGGAUCCGGUGCUGGGAAGACAAAGGCUGGCUCACCACUCACCAGCAGCAAGUGUAAGGAACCGAAGUUUGAACUAAAAGUGCAGCCUCCCUCGGCCUCCCCUUCUCUGCUUUUUCUCCACCUGCACCUCUCCAAGCACCUUCCUCUCACUCCUCUCCCAUCCCCUCUCCACCCAGUUGGCCAUCUGGUAGCCAACUGCCAUUUUUGGAGCCAAACUUUCUUUUAAAUUAUUGUUAAAGUAUAGUUAAUUUACAAUGUGUUAGUUUCAGGUGUACAGCAAAGUGAUUCAGUUACACAUAUACACAUAUAUACACAUUCUUUUUCAUGUUCUUCUCCAUUAUAGCUUAUUAUAAGAUAAUUGAAACUAGUUCCCAGUGCUCUACAGUAGCUCAUUGUUGUUCACCUAUUUUAUAUAUAGCAGUCUGUAUCUGUUAAUCCCAAACUCCUAAUUUAUCCCUCCUCCCCCGGAGCCAAUCCUUUUUUAAAGAUUCUCUUUGAACACUUUAUUCAAGCAUAGCAUGCAUGCAGAAAAAUGCACACCUAUCGCAGGUGCACGACUACAUGAAUUUUCAUAAAGUGAACACAUAUGUAACCAACGCUCAUCACAAAGAUCAAGAAAUGGAACAGAAGGCUGUCAAGGGACUCUCUGCGGGGAUAGAAAUGUUCUAGGUCUUGAUCAUGGUGGUGGCAACACAACUGUAAGCAUUUGUCAAAACUCUCUGAAUUGUGCACUUCAGAAAUCUGAGUUUCAUCAUGUGUAAAUUUUACCCCAAUAUAAACUAAAGAAAGAAAACAUCCCCAGCAUGCCAUUUCCCCUCCCAGUCAGCACCCACUUUGCACUGAAAGUCAUCAGUAUAAUGACUGCUGAACUUAGAUCAGUUUUGCCUGAUUUUGAACUUCUGGUAAAUGGAAUCACACAGCAUAGGCUCCUUGAGACCUGGCGUCUUUUGCUCCACGUCAUCUUCCACGCUGGUCCUUGCAGCUCUAGGUCCUGCAAGUCCAUCACUGCCCGGGGUGGCUCACGUCUAUUUAAUCAUUCUCCCAGGGAUAGACAUGUGGCUGGUUUUGAGCUUUUGCAAACAGUGCUGCUGUGAACAGUCCAGGGUGUGUCUUUGGUCCUCAUGCACACAGCACUUCUGCUGGGAGGGCAGCGCUACUGCAUACUGCCCAGGGGUUUCCCGAGGCGGUCACACUGGAUGCCACUCUAUCCAGGAGUGUUUGAAGGUUCCGAUUCUUUGCCCAAUCUUGGUUCUAUCCUAUUCACUGUCUGUUCUGUUGUUUGAUCUCUUUGUUCUUACAUUUAAGUCAGCACGUAUGUGCUGAGCAACUGAGCACCAACUGUGUGCCACUCACCAUUCACCAUGCUAGGAACCAGAGUCACAAAAAGGAACGGAUGGGAACCCUGUCCUAAACAAAUGGUUCGGAGCAGCUGACUAACGCAGAUGACUAUAAUAUGAUGUGAUGGGGCUCUGGGACCAGACGAGGACAUGGUUAAUCCCGGCAAUCGUAAUUAAUAACCCAGAUUUGCCACAUUUUAUUUAGGAAAACAAAUCUGACAAUACCAAGUGUUGGCAAGAUGGUGAGAAAACAGAAACUCUUUAGCACUACUGCUCGUGGUGAUGUAAGCUGGAGAACAAUUUGACUAUACCUAGUAGAGCUGAAGGUAUCACGUAGCAGAAUUCACCAAUUGCCCUCCUGAGGGUCUUUUUUGUAUUAUCAAACAUUGGAAAUAAGUAAUAUUGUCCACCAACAGAGGAAUGAGCAAGUAAACCAUGUUGUAUUCAUAAGAUAGAAUACCUUCCAUCUGUUAAAUGAGCUGGAGCCAGGCUCAUCACAGACGUGUCAUAAAACUGUAAUAGGGAAGAAUAAAUCUGACUGUAUAUUAGAUCUGUUUCUUUUACUUUAAACUUUGUAUUCUGUUGGUUGUUAAUCACUAAAGGGAUGUUGCCAGAGGCUGGUUUGGGGCAGGCAGAGUGGGGUAGGUGUUCAGUAAGCGGGCUUUUCAGCCUUGGGUGGGAUCCCAUGACCCCAGAGUUGGCAGGGUUGUUUGUUUGUUUGUUUGUUUACUGUCUCCUGGCUCCCCUGGGAGCUCAGCUCCUCGGGCAGGAUCACAGGGGGCAGUGGGGACCCUGACCCAGCAAGGCAGGACCAGCGUGGGGCCUCUGUCCGGUCAUGCUGGCUUUGGGACCAGGCUCCCAGUCCAGUGCUCUGUUUAUCCCAGACAGUGUGCGCGAGAGAGGAAGGGAGCAGUCGGCAGAGGAAGGAAAGUGGUGGUGGGAGCAGGUGAACGCUGAAAAGCCCCCUUACUGAGCAUCUUUUUCGUGACGGACACUGGAGGGGGAAAUCACCACAGUCACCUUUUAAAAAUGUCCCAGGUGAGGACCCCAAGGCUCAGGGAGCAGAGAGGUGCAUCCUCCAUCACACGUUAAGAUCCAUUUUUAAACCUCCCAAUCCAUCUUUCUUCUCUCACCUUUUGAGCUUCCCACAUGGAGCAGGUACUUCUGUCCCACCCUGCCUACCCCAAACUGGCCUCCGGCUGGAGUGAGAGUCAAUGAGAUUUGAUUCUCAUCCAAGUGCCUUCCAAGUUCAAGAGAGGCCCCUGACCCCACAGUCCCUCCUGCAGCCCGUCCCGCAGAUAACAGAGGCCUCAGCACUGCUAUGCCUGCCCACAGACUUCUGUCACAGGCUGCUCCGCCGAAAAUCAAAUUGCAAAAAACCAAACAGGGUAAGAACAACUAGACUAUGAGCAACUUCCAGCUUCCUCUGGGUGAGCCAGAUGUGAGCCCGGCUGGCAGGUGUUUCUGCCUCUAGUCAGAAAGUAGAAGUUACAGGAACACCAGGGGCUGCCCACCCACAUCACAUCUGUGCCUCCCAAAGGCCAAGGGUGGAGGCAGGAGCCUCACUUAACCCUAACAGGGGACAGUCACCUGGAGAGAGGGAGGAGAGAGCCGGACAAGGCACAGAGGAGAGAGGAGAGAGCUAAAGGGAAAAAAGAAAGGUGAAACAUGGCUUAGGGAAAAAAAAAAAAUCUUACAUUCUGUCUCACCUAUUUGUUCAAAAAGAGAUUGGAUUUCAGAGUUCUAGGGUUGCUCUGAGGCCUGAAGAUAUGAAGGGGAAAAUGACUACUGUAAGUUUAUCCCCUCCCCACUACACCUCCCCCUCCCCAGGAGUGGGAGAGGCCCAUGAAGGCAUCUCGUCCUGUCAUCCCCAGGCCUGUGACCUGCGACACAGCAUGGCUGGAGUCGGCUUAAAGGAAGAGGGCUGUCAGACCAGCACGGGUCACAGAGAAAUGGCUCAGGGCUUCUGUGAAAGCACUUGAGGUUUUUGAAAACCCCACCUAAGAAUUACGGGCUAGAGAAUCUGCCCAGCCUGCUUUGAAGAGGUGACCCACAUCCUCAAAGUCAAAGGCUGGGGGGCAGGUGGUCAGCAGGUGGCGCUGCAAAGAAAGGGGCCCGGGCUCCCCAUCCUGUGGGAAGUGGCUAAUACUCAGGUCCCUGGCCCCACGAACCAUGCCCUGCAGUGAGAGCCCCCACCCCACCCCAGCACUGCUAAGGAGCUGGGGGGCUCUAGAAGAACACAAGAAGUUACCUUUUUUCUUAGAAUUAAGGCGAAUCCCUGGAAAGGAUGCUAGAGCAAAAAUACUCCUCAAAUUCCCAAGAGAGUUCAGACUUCAUUAGCAGAGUUCUGUAAAGUACACUAGUUUUGUGUUUGAGGAGAUAUUUUAACCCUAAAAGCAUUAACAUCAUCCUAUGUUUGCAAACCCAAGGGCAGAACCUAGAGAUAGAUGGUACCAGUCAGGGCUCAAGGUUAAAACAAGAGAACUUAACUCUGGUUAAUUUAAAGAGAAAGAAUGCAUACUGGGCAGAUAGUAGGUAGCGUUAGAAAGAUUCUAAUGAAUAAAACCACAUCACGUAUUAUUUUAGAGGGAUGCUCUAACAAUUAGAAUCAGGCUUACCACAUUAGGUUAGAGAGAAUCAAGGUAACCAUGGCUUAAAUAAGAUAAAAGUUUAUUGCUCUCUUGUGAAAAAUAAGCCUGGAAGUAAAUAGUCCCAGGUAGGUAUGGGGUCCAAGGCCCCUCAGUCUCAUUGUUUGACAUUUCUCUUCAUGCAGUUUCUAACUCAUGACGUAAGAUGACUGCCCAAGCUCCAGCCAUCACGUUCAUAUUCCUGCCACAAAAAUAGAGGAAGGAGUAAAACAAGACCUCCCAGAAGUUGCAGACACCUUUUCUCUUUGCAUCCCAUGACCAGAACUUAGUCAUAUAACCACACCUAGUUGUAAGAGACAACAAGGAAUAUCAUCUUUAUGUGGGGCAGCCACAAGCCCCAGCUAACAAAUAAGGAUUCUGUGACAAAUAAAGAAGAUGCUGGAGAGAAAAUUAGCAGUUUCUUCCACAGGGCUUUAAACCCUAUGAACCCUGACCAUGACAACUGUAGUCAAAAUACCUGUGUCAUGUGCUCAGACCAAGGGCCCCUCCGCAGCAUGCCACAUCAAGCAGGGCUCUUCCUCUCUGGGACAACUUGCACUAGAGAGGAAUUAGAAUUUUAAGCCAAGAAACAUGUGAAGGAACUGCUUGAUGUUCUGUGGGAAAACACUGCAAAUUGCAGGCACCAUCUCUGGGCUCUGGCUGUGAAAGCAGCAUUAACAGCGCUCACUAAUGCUCGCCUAGCCCUUCACAAAUCAUGUCGCCCUGGGCUGUGUCUGAUUUCACAGCCCUGACCCACAGGUACUGAUCUCUUCUCAGGGCUGGUGCCAAGCCAAGUGGCAGAAAUGGCCUCCAAUACCUCUGCAGGAGACACCUACUAAACAUAUAAAUUCGUGUAUUAGACAAUAGGAGGGUUCCAGCCAGGGAGCUUCUGGAGGCAAGGAACAGAGAGAUGCUCCACUGGAGUGACUUCCAGGGCGUGCCCACGGGACAGCCUGGCAACUGGGAGGUGCCCCUGGGGACUCUCCCUUCUCCUGGGAAACGUGUGAUGCCACAACUCAGACUGUUAUCUUUUGUUCUUAGCAAGGGGUUAGAGGUCUCAGGUUCUUUCUGAAAAGCAAGGUUGCACAUCUGUACUGGGAACACAAAUCUGCAACAUGUGUAAACCUCGUGCUUGAGACACUGUUGUUUACAGCUCUUGGUUGCUGGCUGGCUCUUCUGAUGUCUGUCUCCCCUGUCUCCAGGGGAGAAACCUGUUGCUUUGAUUCCUAAACAAGGCAGAAGAUGCCAUGAGAGGGCUCACGUCUGCUACAGGAAAGGCAAUAAGGGGGGUUAUAAUGUAACUCACCUCUCCCUGGGCAGUUGCCUAUUGUCCCCAGAGACAUGACCGUGGACAGCCCCCCCACUGCUGCCAUCAGAGAACAAACUCCCUCCAGCAGAAGCCAGAUCCGAAAUGAGCUGCUCUUCAAUGAAUCCCACCUGCGUCCAAACCCUGACUGUGGUUCAUAUGUAUUUAUUCAUAAUUCCCAUUUGGUGAGCUGGGUAUUUGGGCCUGGUUUUUCUUAUUUUUCUUCUACAUGCCAUGAGCUACUUGUAGAGCUGCUUCUUAAAAGAAACUUUUUUUUUUAAAAAAAGGAGUAUUUAACACUCUUUUGAACACUUGAAAGAAAACCUUGUUCUUCAACCCCAGCAGUUUGAAAUGGAGGCUUCUUUAUGGAUAAAAAACAGUUUCAUCAACUCCACAAAAACUCUACCUACCAGUUGCAGCCAUUCCCUCCACCCCAGCCCCACCAACCCAUGACAACCACUGAUCACUAUGGUUUUGUCUUUUUAUAAUGUCUUAUAAACAGCUCUAUACAGUGUGUUAAUCUUUUGCAACUGGCUUCUUUCACUGGGCAUAAUGCCUUUGAGAUUCAUCCAAGUUGUGUUGUGUGUGUGUGUGUGUGUGUGUGAACGGUUCACUCUUUUCUAUUGCUGAGUAGUAUUCCAAUGGAUGAAUAUACCGCUGUUUAUCCAUCACCCAUUAAACAGCAUUAAAGUUGUUUUAGUUUUGGGAAAUUAUGAAAAGAGCUGCUAUAAACAAUAAUGUACAGAUUUCAUUUCUCAAGAAAAUGUCUAAAUACCUGGGAGUGGGAUAGCCAGGUCAUAUGGUAAAUAUAUGUUUGACUUUUUAAGACACUAGCAGAAGAUUUUCCAGAGUGACUGGACAAUUUUGCAUCCCCACCAGUAAUAUGUGAGCAUUCCACUUGUGGAAGUUUUUCUCUUGUGUUUUCUUUAAAAUUGUUUUUAUAGUUUUGUAUUUAACACUUACAUCCAUGAUUCAUUUUGAGUUAAUUUUUGUAUAAAGUGUGAGGUUUAGGUCAAGGCUUACUUUUCUGCAUAGGAUGGUAAUUAUUCCAACACCAUUUGUUGAAAAAAACUAUGCUUUCUCCUUUAAUUAUCUGUGUACCUUUGCCAAAAAUCAGUUGAUGCUACUUGUGUGGGUCUUUUUCUGGAAUGCUCUAUUCUGCUUUAUUGAUCUAUAAGCCUAUCCUGCCCCCAGUACUGUCUUGAUCACCAUCGCUUUAAGGUAACUCGUUAAAUCAGGUUGAGUUCACCAACUUUAUUCUUCUCCAAAAUUGUUUUGGCUAUUCUAAUUCCUUUAGUUUCCCAUAUAAAUUGUAGAAUCAGCUUGUCCUUAUCUCAAAAAAAAAA